ACUAUGGCUCAGUUGGUAGCGCAACGCAUUCGUAAUGCGGGGGUCGGGGGUUCGAGUCCCCCUGGU
rnacentral:tRNA from 1 species